GCACAGUGGUUGAGAGUCCACCUGCCGGUGCAGGGGACACGGGUAUGUGCCCCGGUCCGGGAAGAUCCCACAUGCCGCGGAGCGGCUGUGCCCGUGAGCCAUGGCCGCUGAGCCUGCGCGUCCGGAGCCUGUUGCUCCGCAACGGGAGAGGCCACAACAGUGAGAGGCCCGCGUACCGCAAAAAAAAAAAAAAAAAAAAAAAAAACCGUCUUUAUUGGAGUAUAAUUGCUUGACAAUGGUGUGUUAGUUUCUGCUUUAUAAUAAAGUGAAUAAGCUAUACAUAUACAUAUAUCCCCAUAUCUCCUCCCUCUUGCAUCUCCCUCCACCCUCCCUAUCCCACCCCCAGGUGGUCACAAAGCACCGAGCUGAUCUGCCUGUGCCAUGCGGCUCCUUCCCACUAGCUUUUACAGUUGGUAGUGUAUAUAUGUCCAUACCACUCUCUCACUACGUCCCAGCUUACCCUUCCCCCUCCCUGUGUCCUCAAGUCUAUUCUAUAUGUCUGCAUCUUUAUUCCUGUCCUGCCCCUAGGUUCUUCAGAACCUUUUUUUGGUUUUUGUUUUUUUAGAUUCCAUAUAUAUGUGUUAGCAUACGGUAUUUGUUUUUCUCUUUCUGACUUACUACACUCUGUAUGACAGACUCUAGGUCCAUCCACCUCACUGCAAAUAACUUAAUUUCGUUUCUUUUUAUGGCUGAGUAAUAUUCCAUGUAUAUAUGUGCCACAUCUUCUUUAUCCAUUCCUCUGUCAAUGGACACUUAGGUUGCUUCCAUGUCCUGGCUAUUGUAAACAGAGCUGCAAUGAGCAUUGUGGUACAUGACUCUUUGAAUUAUGGUUUUCUCAGGGUAUAUGCCCACUAGUGGGAUUGCUGGGUUGUAUGGUAGUUCUAUUUUUAGAUUUUUAAGGAACCUCCAUACUGUUCUCCAUAGUGGCUGUAUCAAUUUACAUUCCCACCAACAGUGCAAGAGGGUUCCCUUUUCUCCACACCCUCUCCAGCAUUUAUUGUUUGUAGAUUUUUUGAUGAUGUCCAUUCUGACUGGUGUGAGAUGAUAUCUCAUUGUAGUUUUGAUUUGCAUUUCUCUAAUGGUUAAUGAUGUUGGAGCAUUCUUUCAUGUGUUUGUUGGCAAUCUGUAUAUCCUCUUUGGAGAAGUGUCUAUUUAGGUCUUCUGCCCAUUUUUGGAUUGGGUUGUUUGUUUUUUAGUUAUUGAGCUGCAUGAGCUGCUUCUGUAUUUUGGAGAUUAAUUGUUUGUCAGUUGCUUCAUUUGCAAAUAUUUUCUCCCAUUCUGAGGGUUGUCUUUUGGUCUUGUUUAUGGUUUCCUUUGCUGUGCAAAAGCUUUGAAGUUUCAUUAGGUCCCAUUUGUUUACUUUUGUUUUUAUUUCCAUUUCUCUAGGAGGUGGGUCAAAAAGAUUCUUGCUGUUAUUUAUGUCAUAGAGUGUUCUGCCUGUGUUUUCCUCUAAGAGUUUUAGUGUCUGGCCUUAUAUUUAGGUCUUUAAUCCAUUUUGAGUUUAUUUUUGUGUAUGGUGUUAGGGAGUGUUCUAAUUUCAUUCUUUUACUUGUGCCGUCCAGUUUUCUCAGCACCACUUAUUGAAGAGGCUGUCUUUUCUCCACUGUAUAUUCUUGCCUCUUUUAGCAAAGAUAAGGUGACCAUUUGUGCAUGGGUUUAUCUCUGGGCUUUCUAUCCUGUUCCAUUGAUUUAUAUUUCUGUUUUUGUGCCAGUACCAUACUGUCUUGAUUACUGUAGCUUUGUAGUAUAGUCUGAAGUCAGGGAGCCUGAUUUCUCCAGUUCCUUUUUUCGUUCUCAAGAUUGCUUUGGCUAUUCGGGGUCUUACGUGUUUCCAUACAAAUUUUUUGUUCUAGUUCUGUGAAAAAUGCCAUUGGUAGUUUGAUAGGGAUUGCAUUGAAUCUGUAGAUUGCUUUGGGUAGUAGAGUCAUUUUCACAAUGUUGAUUUUUUCCAAUCCAAGAACAUGGUAUAUUUCUCCAUCUGUUUGUAUCAUCUUUAAUUUCUUUCAUCGGUGUCUUAUAGUUUUCUGCAUACAGGUCUUUUGUCUCCUUAGGUAGGUUUAUUCCUAGGUAUUUUAUUUUUUUUGUUGCAAUGGUAAAUGGGAGUGUUUCCUUAGUUUCACUUUCAGAUUUUUCAUCAUUAGUGUGCAGGAAUGCAAGAGAUUUCUUUGCAUUAAUUUUGUAUACUGAUGCUUUACCAAAUUCAUUGAUUAGCUCUAGUAGUUUUCUGGUAGCAUCUUUAGGAUUCUCUAUGUAGAGUAUCAUGUCAUCUGCAAACAGUGACAGCUUUACAUCUUCUUUUCCGAUUUGGAUUCCUUUUCUUUCUGUUUCUUCUUUGAUUGCUGUGGCUAAAACUGUCUAAACUAUGUUGAAUAAUAGUGGUGAGAGUGGAGAACCUUGUCUUGUUCCUGAUCUUAGAGGAAAUGCUUUCAGUUUUUCACCUUUGUGAAAGAUGUUGGCUGUGGGUUUGUCAUAUAUGGCCUUUAUUAUAUGUUGAGGUAAGUUCCCUCUGUGCCUACUACUUUCUGGGGAGUUUUUAUCAUAAAUGGGUGUUGAAUUUUGUUGAAAGCUUUUCUGCAUCUAUUGAGAUGAUCAUAUGGUUUUUCUCCUUCAGUUUGUUAAUACGGUUUAUCACAUUGAUUGAUUUGUGUAUAUUGAAAAAUCCUUGCAUUCCUGGGAUAAACCCCACUUGAUCAUGUUGUAUGAUCCCUUUAAUGUGUUGUCGGAUUCUGUUUGCGAGUAUUUUGUUGAGGAUUUUUGCAUCUAUAUUCAUCAGUGAUAUUAGCCUGUAGUUUUCUUUCUUUGUGACAUCUUUGUCUGGUUUUGGUAUCAGGGUGAUGGUGGCCUCAUAACAUGAGUUUGGGAGUGUUCCUCCCUCUGCUAUAUUUUGGAAGAGUUUGAGAAGGAUGGGUGUUAGCUCUUCUCUAAAUGUUUGAUAGAAUUUGCCUGUGAAGCCAUCUGGUCCUGGGCUUUUGUUUGUUGGAAGGUUUUUAAUCACAGUCUCAAUUUCAGUGCUUGUGAUUCAUCUGUUUAUAUUUUCUGUUUCUUCCUGGUUUAGUCUCAGAAGCUUGUGCUUUUCUAAGAAUUUGUCCAUUUCUUCCAGGUUGUCCGUUUUAUUGGCAUAGAGUUGCUUGUAGUAAUCUCUCGUGAUCCUUUGUAUUUCUGCAGUGUCAGUUGUUACUUCUCCGUUUUCAUUUCUAAUUCUGUUGAUUUGAGUCUUCUCCCUUUUUUUCUUGAUGAGUCUGGCUAAUGAUUUAUCAGUUUUGUUUAUCUUCUCGAAGAAGCAGCUUUUAGUUUUAUUGAUCUUUGCUAUUGUUUCCUUCUUUUCUUUUUCAUUUAUUUCUGAUCUGAUCUUUAUGAUUUCUUUCCUCCUGCUGACUUUGGGGGUUUUUUGUUCUUCUUUCUCUAAUUGCUUUAGGUGUAAGGUUAGGUUUUUUUAUUUGAGAUGUUUCUUGUUUCUUGAGCUAAGAUUGUAUUGCUAUAAGCUUCCCUCUUAGAACUGCUUUUGCUGAAUCCUGUAGGUUUUGGGUCAUUGUGUUUUCAUUGUCAUUUGUUUCUAGGUAUUUUUUGAUUUCCUCUUUGUUUUCUUCAGUGAUCUCUUGGUUAUUUAGUAGUGUAUUGUUUAGCCUCCAUAUGUUUGUGUUUUUUACAGUUUUUUUCCUGUAAUUCUUAUCUAGUCUCAUAGGGUUGUGGUCAGAAAUGAUACUUGAUAUGAUUUCGGUUUUCUUCAAUUUAUGAAGGCUUGAUUUGUGACCCAGGAUAUGAUCUAUCUUGGAGAAUGUUUCAUGAGUGCUUGAGAAGAGAGUGUAUCCUGUUAUUUUUGGAUGGAAUGUCCUAUAAAUAUCAAUUAAGUCCAUCUUGUUUAAUGUAUCAUUUAAAGCUUGUGUUUAUUUAUUUUCAUUUUGGAUGAUCUGUCCAUUGGUUAAAGUGGGGUGUUGAAAGUCCCCUACUAUGGUUGUUUUACUGUUGAUUUCCCGUUUUAUGGCUGUUAGCAUUUGCCUUAUGUAUUGAAGUUCUCCUAUGUUGGGUGAAUAAAUAUUUACAAUUGUCAUAUCUUCUUUUUGGAUUGAUCCCUUGAGCAUUAUGUAGUGUAGUGUCCUUCUUUAUAUUUUAGUCAUUAUUUACAUUUACAUGUGGCAGAAUUUUUUUAGUGAAACAAACUAUUAAGCUGUGUCAGUAUAUCAGCUCUCAGGACGCAUCUCGCUGAGGGGGAACUCCAAUAUUCAACUUUAUAAUAGUCACUCCUCUGUCUCCCCAAAACCUUUAAUAACAUCUUCACUUACCACAAGCUCUCUGGAUGUAUAUAAUAUAUAUUUUGUUAAAUUAAGAAGAGAAGUUGAGUUUCUCAUUCAGAAAGGCAGGGAGAGCAGAGGCAGGACUGUGAAAGAUGUGUAAACAGAAUUGAUUUAGUGACAUGAAGAAAUCACAGAAAUCUUGAUGAACUUCCCAUAGGAGAUAUUUCAGUCUUAUAAAGCCAUUACAUCAUACGGUAUUUACAGCUACAAUUUGCAAUUAAUACAUCUUGGAAAUUUUAGUAGAAGCUGCCUUUGUCUAAAAGUAGAUGUUCUUUGAGUGCUUAAAGCUUUAACUAUGGCUGUACUAGGUGAUUGGUUCAAAAGCUACUCUGAAAAUUUUCCAGAAUAAAAUUGUCUUGGUCAUGAUCUAGACAGAUAUGCUAUUGAGAGCUGCUGCUUCUGUAUGAGGGCUUUUCAGACCUCAGUGUGCCAUCUGGCAGUCUUGUUAAAAUGCAAAUUCUCAUUGAGCAGGUCUGGGCUGGGGCCUGACAUUCUGCGUUUCUAACAAGCUCCCAGGUGGCGUCAAUGCUACUCCUUUGGCAGGUUGCACUUUUGAGUGCCAAAGCUCUAUCCCACAAUAGCUGAAGACCCAGAAGAGGAGAAACCUCUCAAUACUUCGCAAGAGCAAAGGUGCAUUCCUCCUAAACUAUCUUAUUGCUUUAUUUUGUUUU